rnacentral:rRNA from 1 species
UACGAGGGGUGCAAGCGUUGCUCGGAAUUACUGGGCGUAAAGGGUAGGUAGGCGGUCUCAUUUGUCUGGGGUGAAAGCCUUGGGCUCAACCCGAGAAGUGCCCCAGAAACGGUGAGACUAGAGUCCUGGAGAGGGUCGUGGAAUUCCCGGUGUAGCGGUGAAAUGCGUAGAGAUCCGGAGGAACCCCAGAGGCGAAGGCGGCGCUCUGGCUCGCAACUGACGCUCAGGCACGACAGCAUGGGGAGCGAACAGG